GCAUCUGAAAGAAUGUUGACCCCCACCCCCACAUACACACACUUUCAGCUGACUAAUAAGAAUCCUAGGAGAGAAGCAGAAUGGAAGCUGGGUGUGGGGUGCACACCUGCAACAUAGCACGUAGGAGGCUAAGCCAGGAGGAUCUGGAGUUUGAGGCCAGGGCAGGAUACAUCAGGAGUUCCAGGCCAAACCCAGCUGCUCAGAGAGUAGCCCACAGUGAAAAAGGAAGCUGCAGCAGAAUGGAAAUAUAUGAGAAGUGGGCUUAUAAAACAAAACACAACGCAGUCACAAGCUAUGCUCGGCUCUUCCCCUUUCAUCCUUCUACCUGUGAAAUGACAGGGAUGGGCAAGAUAGCCAUGAAGCCUGUGGACGGAGCUCUUAUUCCAGGCAUCAUCUAGGGAAGGAAAAGGAACGCUCCACCGUGCAGUAAGCUGAAUGACUGUCACAGUUUGAACCUGAAAUGUCCCCCUUAGAGGGUCAUGUUCUGGGGGCUUUGGGUGGGUCUGUGUCAUCUUUUAGGAGGUGGGGGAGGUGGGGCAUGGCUGGCAGCAAGUCACUAGUUCUGAUGGUUAGUUUGAAUUGUCAUUUUUGACCCAAACAAGGAUCGUCUAAGAAGAGAAUCUCCAUGCGGGGUUGUCUACAUCGAGCUGACCAGUGGGGUUGACCUGCAGGGUUGUCUACAGUGGAUUGGCCUGUGGGACUGUCUACAUUGUGCUUCUUUUGGAAUCUGCUAUAGACCAGCAGAGUGGGUACUGGCCCUAGGAAGGUCCUGUAGCAGAUGAAGGAUGCAGGCAUGGAAGAGACACUAUCUACCCAGGACAAAGAUGGAAGGGUGAAGAGGACCAGGCUGCUACACACUGCUAGGUGGAUCAUGCAUAGCCAAGAGGUCUCUAGCUGGACCACUCUGGCCCUGGACUGGAUCAGUAUAUGGAAAAGGUAAGUCCAGGUGAAGAACUUGGGGAGUUGACGAGUCUGGAAAACGAGCCCAAGCCAGGUUCUGCUGUUUUGGUAUGAUCUGGAGCCCCCAUGCCAGGAAGGUUAAGGCACAGCCCCAGCGUGAGACACCACACAGUUCACGACCCAUUCUGAGGAAGCCCUCCUUACGGACUGUUCUCUGCUCAAUUCUUCUGGAAGUCUCAGCUGCUGUAGACAGCUCUUUUAUUGUUUGGUAA